rnacentral:tRNA from 1 species
GGGGAUUUAGCUCAGUGGUAGAGCGCGUGCCUAGCAAGCACAAGGCCCUGGGUCUGGUCCUCA